rnacentral:rRNA from 1 species
UACGAAGGGGGCUAGCGUUGCUCGGAAUCACUGGGCGUAAAGCGCGCGUAGGCGGACUCUUAAGUCAGGGGUGAAAUCCUGGAGCUCAACUCCAGAACUGCCUUUGAUACUGGGAGUCUUGAGUUCGGGAGAGGUGAGUGGAACUGCGAGUGUAGAGGUGAAAUUCGUAGAUAUUCGCAAGAACACCAGUGGCGAAGGCGGCUCACUGGCCCGAUACUGACGCUGAGGUGCGAAAGCGUGGGGAGCAAACAGG